rnacentral:rRNA from 1 species
AAAAACAUGUCUUUUUGUUAUUUAUAUAAGGUCUAAUCUGCCCACUGAUUUUUUAAAUGGCCGCAGUAUUUUAACUGUGCAAAGGUAGCAUAAUCAUUAGUCUUUUAAUUGAAGGCUUGUAUGAACGAUUGGACGAAAUAUAAGCUGUCUCAUUUAUAUUAAAUUAGAAUUUUAUUUUUUAGUUAAAAAGCUAAAAUUUUGUUAAAAGACGAGAAGACCCUAUAGAUCUUUAUAUUUUAUUUAAUUGUUAAUCUAAAAGAUUUUUAGUGAUUUUAAUUAAAUAAAUUAUUUUGUUGGGGUGACACUAAAAUUUAUAUAACUUUUGUUUUAUUUUACAUUAAUUUAUGAUUGUUUUGAUCCUUCAAUGUUGAUUAUAAAUUUAAGUUACCUUAGGGAUAACAGCGUGAUUUUUUCGGAGAGUUCAUAUCGAUGAGAAAGAUUGCGACCUCGAUGUUGGAUUAAGAUGGAAUUUGGGCGCAGCAGUUCAAUUUUUCAAGUCUGUUCGACUUUUAAUAUCUUACAUGAUCU